rnacentral:rRNA from 1 species
AUUGAACGCUGGCGGAAUGCUUUACACAUGCAAGUCGAACGGCAGCACGGGGCAACCUGGUGGCGAGUGGCGAACGGGUGAGUAAUACAUCGGAACGUGCCCAAUCGUGGGGGAUAACGUAGCGAAAGUUACGCUAAUACCGCAUACGAUCUACGGAUGAAAGCGGGGGAUCGCAAGACCUCGCGCGAAUGGAGCGGCCGAUGUCAGAUUAGGUAGUUGGUGGGGUAAAGGCUCACCAAGCCGACGAUCUGUAGCUGGUCUGAGAGGACGACCAGCCACACUGGGACUGAGACACGGCCCAGACUCCUACGGGAGGCAGCAGUGGGGAAUUUUGGACAAUGGGCGCAAGCCUGAUCCAGCCAUUCCGCGUGCAGGAUGAAGGCCUCGGUU